rnacentral:rRNA from 1 species
UGCCAGCCGCCGCGGUAAUACUGAAGGUGCAAGCGUUAUUCGGAAUUAUUGGGCGUAAAGGGCGCGCAGGCGGUCUUGUCAGUCAGGUGUGAAAGCCCGGGGCUCAACCCUGGAAGUGCACUUGAAACAGCAAGACUUGAGUACUGGAGAGGAAAGCGGAAUUCCUGGUGUAGAGGUGAAAUUCGUAGAUAUCAGGAGGAACACCGAUGGCGAAGGCAGCUUUCUGGACAGAUACUGACGCUGAUGCGCGAAGGUGUGGGGAGCGAACGGGAUUAGAUA